GACGAACGCUGGCGGCGUGCUUAACACAUGCAAGUCGAACGGUAAGGCCCUUCGGGGUACACGAGUGGCGAACGGGUGAGUAACACGUGGGUGAUCUGCCCUGCACUUCGGGAUAAGCCGGGGAAACUGGGUCUAAUACCGGAUAGGACCACUGCCUGCAUGGGUGGUGGUGGAAAGCUUUUGCGGGGUGGGAUGGGCCCGCGGCCUAUCAGCUUGUUGGUGGGGUGAUGGCCUACCAAGGCGACGACGGGUAGCCGGCCUGAGAGGGUGACCGGCCACACUGGGGCUGAGAUACGGCCCAGACUCCUACGGGAGGCAGCAGUGGGGAAUAUUGCACAAUGGGCGCAAGCCUGAUGCAGCGACGCCGCGUGAGGGAUGACGGCCUUCGGGUUGUAAACCUCUUUCAGCACCGACGAAGCGCAAGUGACGGUAGGUGCAGAAGAAGGACCGGCCAACUACGUGCCAGCCGCCGCAGUAA
rnacentral:rRNA from 1 species